GCACAGGACCCCGGCCCGAGUGACAGACGCUGAGCAUCACCUGGACUCGCACAGGACCCCGGCCCGAGUGACAGACGCUGCCGCCCCGCACACCACGAUGGCAAACAGGUGUCCAGAAAGACCAAAGGUAACACAGGCCCCCGCAUGGGGUGGUUUGUAAAACUCUCUCCAGAUGGCCUAUAAUGCGUCCCUACUGCUUUUUAAACUAUGAAAAUAAAAACCUGGGUACGGGAAGUACAGCAACGUAAAACCCAUUUCCUCUCAUUUCCAAAGAGACCUGAGGGAUUCCUCGGCAUCCGGCAUCAGAGGAACGUGGGGUGGAGGGGAUGGGCCAGGCGGGGACCACGGCUCAGGAGCGGGGACACCUAGCUGACUUGUGCCUGGAGAAAAGGGCUCAGGGCUGGCCUCACACCAGCCAAGCUCUGCACCUCCUGCAAGGCUCUGGCUGGGUGGGUUCUCACCAUCUGGGAUUCUCUACAGGCCCUGGAGCUGGGGCUGCCUUCCUUCCCAGUUGAGCUCCAGCAAGCCAAUGAGGUGGCAGCAGCAGGAUAGGGGACAAAGCACCGAGGGUCCAGCCCUGCACCAUCAGAACACAAUGCACGCCUCGGCGAGCCAGGGGCGCAUCCCUCCAGCCGCCAGCUCACCCCAACCCUGGGCUCCUCCUGCCGGCUACUCAUGUCAGCCUGUGGUGGGGGGUCCAGACACAGCCCACCCAAACGAGGGGCUCCCAGAGGCCCGGCCCGUCCCUGUCCCUCCUGCUCCCCCAGGCUCCCUGGGCCCUUCAAAAGGAUGAACCAUCCAUGCUCCUGUCAGCUCAGGACCAGACACCAGGACUCCCCACCCACCCUACCCGAGGACGGGUCCAGGCUGCGAGGGGAGCCAUGCUGCAUCCCUGUGCUGCACUGGAGUGUGGCACAUCCUACCCCAGAACUACCGCAUCUUGAUUACAUCUGCAAAGUCUCUGUUCCAAGUAAGGUCACGUUCACAAAAUCUGGGUGGACGGGAAUUUGGGGAGGUUAAUCCCCCAUCUGUCAGAUGGAGAUGGAGGGCAGUAUGGACCAUUGUCUCGGACACAGAGGAGACCGGAUCUCGGACACCAAGUGCGACCCAGAGCAAAGCUUUCCAUGCAGAGCCCAUGUCCAGUGGAUGCCCUCUCGACAAAUCCUACCUUCACCUUGCAUUCUGGUUGCUGCUGCCAUGUGUCCCCCGGGCCCCACCAGCCCCCCACUCCCCAACCCUACCUCCUCAGAUGCCCUCCACAAGCACCCAGAAGCCCAGCCCAGGCAGCUCAGGGCAGCUCCCGUAAGCCCCCCACCCCAAGGGGAACCAGCUGCUCAGCGGGAUCCGCCACCACCCGGCCCUGCUGCCGUCGGAAGGAACCCCCUCCCCGUACCUCCACGUGGAAGCAGACGCUUGGGGAAAGGCCCCCUGGCCGUGGCUAUUCCAGAUCCCUGCUCAGAGCCAGGGCAUUCUACAAGGACUCACGGGGACCAUGUGCGACGGGGGCACCUGGUGCUGUGGCUCCAGGCAGCACCCGCCAGGCUCUGGGUGCCCUGCACGCAGGGCUGAGUCCAGCAGAGCUGGCCCGGGGACACAAAGCACGCUGCUCUGGAAACCGCUGAAUAGCUUCUGGACACACAACGGCGGCAGUGUCUAGGGAAACUGGACUUGGAAACCACAAAGGACUUUAUCUCCCUUCCCAGCCAAGAUUUUUAAAAGAGUGGUUCCUGGUCUCCGGCGCUUGCAGCGUCCCAGCCAAUCUGCCUCGACCCGCAGCACACACCACUCCCCGGCCUGGCUUCAUCUCCCGAUUAUCUAUGGCUCUCCUGCUGAUCUGAGGACAAACAAUGUCCACUUUCCCACAGGAUGCCGUCCCGUCCUAACCUUCUUCCUGGGGAGUCACAGACGCUGAGAACUGCGCGCCUCCCCCCUCCCCCCAGGCCAGUCCCAGAGACAGCCAGGUCCUUUCCAUCCUCUGGGAAGACAGCCCCGGACCCCGCGGUCAGAAUGGCCUAGGAUGGCAGCUACAGACUCUGAGGCUCUGCAGGGCAAACAGGAGGGACGGGGCGGAGGCGCAGACUCAGUUGUCCUAAUCAACGCCCAAAGGCCUUGCCCCCAGAACCCCAGUGCACACGCAACUCCCAUCCAGCCCUGUGGGGCCCUGUGCUGAGCACUCCCCGGGAGCAGUCUGACACUGGAGACCACUGACCCUGUCCCCAACCCCAUGCCAGGCUCAAGACAUGGCUCACAGUGGAUGACCCCCAGGUUUUCCCAAACACAAGGCUUGUGUGGGAUCCACUUCUCUCACCCCAGAUUCACAGCUCAGUCCUGCCAGACUGGGCACAGGCAGCAGGACCCCAAAUGCUCCCGGCGUCCACACCCAGAUGUCCUGCUCCCGACCUGGCACCUGCUGGCUUCCCUGGGAGCUCUGCCGGCCGGCUGGACAUCUCACUGGUAGCUUGGUUCUGCCUAGCUUAGCGCGGAGCUGGAGUCUCAGCUCACCCUCCCGCCGGAUGGCAUGUGUAUCCAUCAGCUGCUCAAGCCACAGCCCUUGAAGGAGCCCUCAAUCACGGGAUCACUCCAUGGCCACCCUCUCCAAACCAGGCCCCACACCGGUCUGCCUCUCCACCCUGACCCCACCCUCCUGCUCAGCUGGGCCUGGGGCGGAGGGGCCCACAGCACCUCAUGGAGCCCCUUCUCCACGUGGCAGGAAACCAGACCUCCCAGCGCUUCCCCUUCCAGUCCCUGGGGGUCCUCUGGCCACUGCGUUUGCUCCUACUAUGGGGCCCAGCACCUCUGGUUCUGGGGCGUCUCCCAUCCCAGAGCCUUUUUCUCCAAGUACCCCACCUUGAAAGCCAUUCCUGGAACUUCCAGCUAACUCCCUUGCUUGGGAUUUGGGCCCCCAGCCCCACGCUGUAAGAACACGGGCCCCAAGGGAAGAGGCAGCCGCGGCUCUUCAGGUGAUGCCCCAGCAGGCCUGGCCCGUGCUGGGCUCACAAACCCUCAUCAGGCAAACGAAGGAAUGAUGCACAAAGGCGGGGCCGUGCUGAGCAGACGAGCAGCCAGAAAUCCGGGGCCCUACGCCGGCUCCGAGCCACCCAGCCACAGCUGCGAAGGGCUGUCCUCCCAGAGAGCUCUCAGAGCAAAGGGCCGUCCACGGACUUUGCUCAGGAGCCCUGCUGGGGUUUCCAGUCCCUAAAUCCAUAAACACUUGUGGAGAACUUAACGCCAAGUUUUCAACAACCUGGGUGUUUCUACGGGAGUGGGGGGGAGGCCUGAAUCUCUUCCCACGGGCAAGCAUCUUCAGGGGCUGUCUGUCCACGAAGGUCAGGCCAAAACCCCCAGUGCAGUGAGCCAGGGGAGGAUAAUGAAGGCCCAGGUCCCACGAGCUCAGUGACCCUGACCGAUGGCCUGGGUGGCCCUGGAAAGUCAGAGAGAGCGGGAGAGCUGGGAGGGCUCGGUGUGAGCUGCCACCCCCUCUUCUGUGACCUGGGAUCACGCCCCCGGACCGGAGAGCUCAUGACCGCACAGGGAGUGGCCCCAGGGACCCGUGUGCAGAGAUGUAGGUGGGACGGCGACUGCAAACCGUACAGAUAUACAGACGCAUGCACAUGCUCACAAAUACCAGUAAAACGUGCGGCACUCCUCGUGGGGAAGCCGAGGGGCCGGUGCGGCUCACGGAUGUUCUGACUUUUCCUGAACACCCCCCUCCCUUGUCCAGCACGAUCCUAACGGAAGAUGAGUACGGCGCAGACAGGAACACCGGCUGACAUUCCGUUUACGUGAACAAGACAAGGUGCACGUGGGAGGCACGCAUCAGAGCCCCACGCGUUGGUCGCGGGCGGGGGAACCCCUGCUGAAAGGCAGGGCAGCUUUCUGAGAGCGCAGGAGUGUUGCCUCGGCUUUUCUGUGCCCCUCACGGUGAGUGGCUACAACGUCCCACACGUGGCUUUUCCAUCACUUGAUGAAGCCGAGACAAUCAACAAAAUGAGAAGCGAAGCCCCGAUUCGUAGCAUCUGCCCGUUUCUGCUCCCACCGUGGCCAUUUUCAAGCCACCAGAGAGACGUGCAGGCGUGGGCGCGUGGUUGGGGCCGAUGCAGCGGCCGCGGUGACCCAGGAUUUCCACCUUCCAGACACAACGGUCGCAAGCCACCUCGCGACCACAAAAGUAGUGACGUAAUUCAGAAGGGAGGGAUUUCCAGUGAAUACCUUUGCUGCGAAUUCACCUAACUGACCUGAGAAGAUCCAGCCAAUGAGACAGCUGGUAGGAAGCACCUUCCAAAUUCCGGGCACUAGGCAUGACUUCGUGCCAUGGCCCUGGCCCAAGUUCCUGAAAGCAGAAAGGAGCGUGGCUCGCAGCUGUCUGAAACCAGGCAGCUCUCCAAAGGCAUUGCACCAUUAAGACACUGCAGCAGGCAAGGCGCGGGCCGGGCGAGCCUGUUCUGCAAGGGGCCAGGUAGGAAAUGUCGGGCUUGGCGGGCCACACGGCCCAUCCUAACUUCUCAAUUCUGCUGUACCACAAAAUGGGUGUGGCUGUGGGCAAAUAAAACAUUAUUUUUUUUUAAA